rnacentral:rRNA from 1 species
CGGGAUGAGCUCAAAUUUAAAAUCUGGCUGGUUUACUAGUCCGAAUUGUAGUUUAUAGAAGCGUUUUCGGUGGCAGCCUGGGUAUAAAUCCUUUGGAAUAGGGUAUCAUAGAGGGUGAGAAUCCCGUCUU